rnacentral:rRNA from 1 species
CCGAUGGCGACCGGCGCACGGGUGAGUAACGCGUAUCCAACCUGCCGAUAACUCGGGGAUAGCCUUUCGAAAGAAAGAUUAAUACCCGAUGGUAUAAUCAGACCGCAUGGUCUUGUUAUUAAAGAAUUUCGGUUAUCGAUGGGGAUGCGUUCCAUUAGGCAGUUGGUGAGGUAACGGCUCACCAAACCUUCGAUGGAUAGGGGUUCUGAGAGGAAGGUCCCCCACAUUGGAACUGAGACACGGUCCAA